ACAUUGUUAAUGGAAUAAUGUAAUCUGUUCUUCUUGACGACCGCUUCCGUCGCACCAUUUACCGGCCGAUCCGUUCUUCCCCAUAACCCAAGGUGCGCCUCCUCUCUCUCUUUCUCUCUCCCACUAUUCCUCUCUUUCGUUUCUUCACGGAGCCGGAGGAAAGAGAAGGGAAAGAGAGGGAGAGAAGGGGACCUUAAGGCGAUCGUUUUGUGCAUCUCCUCUCCUUCCGGGGCUGGGAUGUGUACCCGUUGAAUCCGCGCCUAGUCGGGUUCACGCUCCUUGCAGCAGGUGGAAUAGGAGGAAGAAAAGACUGCUUUCUGAGGGGAGGAGGAGAUAGGCGGAGGAGAUGAGUGCGUCCAGGUUCAUAAAGUGCGUCACGGUGGGCGACGGCGCCGUCGGUAAGACCUGCAUGCUCAUAUCGUACACCAGCAACACUUUCCCCACGGAUUAUGUCCCUACGGUAUUCGACAAUUUCAGUGCUAAUGUUGUAGUUGAUGGUAACACAGUUAACAUAGGCCUGUGGGAUACUGCUGGCCAGGAGGAUUACAACAGACUUAGACCUUUGAGCUAUCGAGGUGCAGAUGUUUUUUUGCUGGCAUUCUCUUUGAUAAGUAAAGCGAGCUAUGAAAAUGUGGCUAAGAAGUGGAUUCCUGAGCUGAGUCACUACGCACCUGGUGUGCCUAUAAUUCUUGUUGGAACAAAGCUUGAUCUCCGGGAUGAUAAGCAGUUUUUUAUAGAUCACCCUGGUGCAGUACCUAUGAGUACUGCUCAGGGGGAAGAGUUGAGGAAGCUGAUUGGCGCGGCAGCCUACAUCGAGUGCAGCUCCAAGACCCAGCAAAAUGUUAAGGCAGUUUUUGAUGCGGCCAUUAAAGUGGUGCUUCAGCCACCCAAUCUUAAGAAAAAUAAGGGGAAAGGACACACGAGUUGCUCCAUCUUGUGAAUAUAGACUGACCCCCUAGCUUGGAAGUGCCUUGCUCCAUUUUGCGGAUCUUGGUUGUGGCCUACAAACAACCGAAGCAUUAGGAGCUUAUGUGACAAAGGAGGAUGUCUGAUCCGAUACCCGACAUCCGUUCAAGUCGAUGCAUAAACAAUGGUUCAUCUAUAUCUGCAGCCAAUAAGAUUGAACUCAGCAGCUGUGUUUGUAGCAUUAAACUUGAAAAGUAUUUUCUGUUUGGUCUUACUUUUCAUUGGCAUCUACAACUUAAAUGAACUCAGUUAGCAGCUGUUUCUAUUGAUCCUUGAACUUGAUCUGUCAAUUUAUUUCGAGUUACUUCUAUUA